rnacentral:rRNA from 1 species
AUUGAACGCUGGCGGCAGGCCUAACACAUGCAAGUCGAACGAGUGGCGGACGGGUGAGUAAUGGCUGGGAAACCGCCUGAUGGAGGGGGAUAACUACUGGAAACGGUAGAUAAUACAGCAUACCGUCGGGUGUGCCCAGAUGGGAUUAGCUAGUAGGUGGGUUAUAGGCUCACCUAGGUGACCAUCCCUAGCUGGUCUGAGAGGAUGACCAGCCACACUGGAACGGUGACACGGUCCAGACUCUGACGGGAGGCAGCAUGGGGGAAUAUUGCACAAUGGGCGCAAGCCUGAUGCAGCCAUGCCGCGUGUAUGAAGAGGGCCUUCGGGUUGUAAAGUACUUUCAGCGGGGAGGCGUUACCCGCAGAAGAAGCACCGGCUAACUCCGUGCCAGCAGCCGCGGUAAUAC